UGAUCAGGGUCGGGCAGGCAGAGUAAACAGGGACAGGCAAGAGUUUGGGAACCAGCAGGCAAUCAGGUAGACUGGGGGUACCGUCGCCGGGCGGGUAGUCGGGCAGGCGAGGGGUCGAUAUCCACCAGGUACUGUACCCCACGUCCACGGCGGUGGGAGCGAAGGAGGCGCUGGACAGUGUAAACCGGACCGCCGUUGACAAGCUGACGGGGAGGAGGAGGCGGAACGGGAGGAGCCAGAGUGCUCUCCUGGACGGGGUUGACUCUGGAGACAUGGAAUGUCGGUUGGAUCCUCAGGGACCCAGGGAGCCGACGGCGUACCGCCUCCGGGUUAAUGACACGAGGGAUGGGGAAGGGGCCUACAAACCUGGAGGCCAGCUUACGACUCUCCAACUUAAGGGGGAGAUCGCGGGUGGAGAGCCAGACCUUGUGGCCAGUCUGGUAGACAGGGGCUGGCGUACGGCGCUUGUUGGCGGCGGCAGCGUUGCGGUCCGCGGAUUUGCGCGCCUGGUCCCAGGUGCGUCUGCAGCGGUGAAUGAGGGCUUGUACAGAGGGACAGGAGGACUCCUGCUCUAAGUCGGGAAACAGGGGUGGCAGAUACCCGUAGGUGCAUUGGAAGUGAGAGAGGCCUGUGGAUGAGCAGGUGAGGGUGAUAUGCGCAAACUCUACCCAGACUAGCUGGUCGGACCAGGAAGCCGGAUUGCGGUUCACCAGACAGUGAAGGGUGGUCUCCAGAUCUUGGUUCACCCUCUCGCUCUCUCCAUUGGACUGAGGAUGGAAGCCGGAAGACUGGCUGAUGGAAGCCCCAACUAGGCUGCAAGACUCGCUCCGGAAGACCGACGCUGGGAAAGGACCGCCCCUGCUCCCACACCGGAUGCGUCCACCUCCACUAGGAACUGACGCUCAGGUUCGGGGAUCUGAAGGAUGGGGGCGGUGGUGAAGCGAGUCUGAUGGAAGCCCCAACUAGGCUGCAAGACUCCCUCCGGAAGACCGACGUGAAUUGGGGCCUCUGAUCAGAAACGACAUCAGUGGGCAGUCCAUGGAGGCGGAAGACUCGGGUCCGUUGAAUGCCGGGAUUAACAGGAACCGAUCAGCAAACCACAAAUCAGUGUCCUGGCUGGCCGCAGCACAGGCAGAGGUUCUGCCUCCGUCUCCUCUCCUUUUCUUCCGGUGGGAGAUGGGUGCGACCCACCUGCAUGGGCUCUGGAUCCCCCUCCCUCCAAGAAGCAGAUGAGGUCAUCGGGAAGGAGGCGUGGGUUACUGGGAACCUGGGGAGAGGAGGGCUGCGUGGCGGGGUAGGACGUGACGGAGCCUCUGAACGCCUCUCCCUCCUACGAGCCUGGAUACGGAGGUCGAGGCUGGUGGCGAGCUCGAUCAGGCCCUCCAGUGUAGACGGUGGGUCAUUGGUGAUGAGCUCGUCCUUGAUGUGCCCAGCCAGACCCCGCAAGAAGACAUCACGCAGAGCGGAUGGGCUCCAGUCGCUCAUGGGGGCCCUGGUGCGGAAGUCAAUGGCGUGGUCCGUGACUGAGCGGCUUCCCUGGGAAAGGGCAAACAGAUCCCGUCCGGCUUCGGCCCCCAGAGGUCCGGUACCGAAGACUCUUCUGAGCUCUUCGGCGAAGGUCUGGAAAGAGCGGCAGGUGGGGGUCCCUCUCUGCCACUCAGCUGUGCCCCAAAGACGGUGGUGUAAGAUGGUAUAAGCCACCCGGGCUUCUUCGGAGGGGAAGGUGAGCGGCUGAAGGGCGAAGAUGAUGGAGCAGUGGCACAAGAAGGCGUUACAAGUGGUAGGGUCGCCAUCAUAACGCUCGGGAAUCCCCACAUUGGGCUCACGGGGACGAGAGGUGGAGCGGCAGCGCCUACUUUGUAAUCCUAUUUGUAGAUAAAUAGUAGAUAAACAUUAACACUCAACAGAAACACACAAAACAGCAGAAAUCGACCACACACAGAUACACAGACAACACCAAACACAUUAACACACACACACAACACACAACAUAAGCUGUGGGACCAGCAGGUCCACCCCCCCCCCCCCCAGGUGUGGAGGAGGCGAUGGGAGUCUGAACGCCCUGUGGAGCUACCAGGGGCAGGCCGCUGACGAGCUGGGCUUCAAUGAGGGGUACAUGGUGACCAUCCUGCAGAAGGCCCAGGGGGUGGACUGGUGGUGGGCCUCGCUCUGCGGCCGCGAGGGCUUUGUGCCCAACUACUACUUUGGGCUCUUUCCAAAGGUCCGUCCUAAGUCUCUGUGUUGAUGCGUCUCUCUGGGCUCACGGAUCAGAGGACGUCGUUGUCUCAUCUGGUGUUCUACACCAUGUCCCUCCACCAGGGGGAGCCAGGGAGUUAGGCCUGGCCUUUACGAGUGGCCAGGCGGACAGGUAGACACGUGGACAAGGGGAGGGACUUCAACUGGUUUGCAACUGCUGCAAUUGUGAGGAGCACAAGAAGAGGUGUGCGUAGGGCGUUUCGUUGAUAGCCAGUUGUGGAAAAUAGUUAAGUGUCUAAAACUAAAGUUUAAAUCCAUCUAGUGACGCCUCACAAGUUGUCUGUGCGAACUAAAAUAAACUUUUAAGUGUCUGUUGUGUACUUUUGAUUGCGAGUGGAGAUAUUUAGCCCGCCAGACGGACUGGAUCAGUUAGCUGACCGGACCAGUCUAGCCUGUAAGGGAAGGGAGUUGGUUCAAUCCCAGACAGGGGUGGCCAGAUGAAUCACAGCUUCACACUAAAAGUCCCGAUAACAUAGAAAUUACUUUACUUUGUACUUUGAUGGCAGAACUUGCCUUCACCUUUAUGUAGAGGUGUAGUUUAAAUGUAUCCUUCAGCAUGGGCCACAACCUGGUUGCAUACAAUGACACUCUUUUAACAGCUGUGAAGAGAACUUAUUCACCUGGUGGCCAUACUGGGUAGUUGGGUGGGUAAACCUCUUUUAGAGGCUUCGAAAAUCAUGGCAACUCAAUGCAUCUAUUUCUAGAUCUGCAUUCCAUUUGAAAUUAGUUUGGCAAACCAUUUAGGUAGCAUUAAGAAUAAAUAUCUAUUGUGUCCACAAAGCCCCAAUGAUUAUAGAAGGUUUACCCACCCAACUGACCAACAUGGCCAACGCUUUUCACAGUUUAGUCUGUUUUUUUCUGAUAUUGAAAAUGUACAGCUCUGAUGGAUUUCCUCUCUAUUUUGCUCUAUAUAGCAAUCGUUUAUGUGUAUGAAUCUGAAUCUUGUUGAAUAAAUAUAUAUCAGGAAGAAUGUGUAUUUUGACCUCCGGCAGCCUUUUUUACGGGCACAGAAAUACUCAGUAUCCUCUCCAAGUUCUCCAUUGAGGGUUCAUGUAUUUUAGUACAUUUAAAAAAUAAACGUGUUGAUGAUGAA